UCAGCCGGGCCGCCGACCCCAGCGCCCGGGAG
rnacentral:scRNA from 1 species